AUGAACGCUGGCGGCGUGCCUAAUACCUGCAAGUCGAGCGAACAGACGAGGAGCUUGCUCCUCUGACGUUAGCGGCGGACGGGUGAGUAACACAUGGAUAACCUACCUAUAAGACUGGGAUAACUUCGGGAAACCGGAGCUAAUACCGGAUAAUAUAUUGAACCGCAUGGUUCAAUAGUGAAAGACGGUUUUGCUGUCACUUAUAGAUGGAUCCGCGCCGCAUUAGCUAGUUGGUAAGGUAACGGCUUACCAAGGCAACGAUGCGUAGCCGACCUGAGAGGGUGAUCGGCCACACUGGAACUGAGACACGGUCCAGACUCCUACGGGAGGCAGCAGUAGGGAAUCUUCCGCAAUGGGCGAAAGCCUGACGGAGCAACGCCGCGUGAGUGAUGAAGGUCUUCGGAUCGUAAAACUCUGUUAUUAGGGAAGAACAAAUGUGUAAGUAACUAUGCACGUCUUGACGGUACCUAAUCAGAAAGCCACGGCUAACUACGUG
rnacentral:rRNA from 1 species